GACUAUUUUAAGAAAAUAGAAGACUAUCAUUUACAGCUGGUAUGGCCCUGUGGUGGUGUGGACCCAGACUUCAAACACAGAUGAAGAUCGAAAACUGAUAUCCCGCAUCUGAUAUCAGGAUGAGUUGCAGAAAAACUCCUCAGACACCGGAUUAAAGAAGGAAGAGGUUUUUUAUUUGUCCGGGAGCGUCGGCAGACUCGCGUCUUAAGAGCCGAGCUCCCCGAAAAAGAAAUUCCUAGCCCUUUUAAGGCCUUACAACUCUAAGGAGUCUACGUGAAAGAGUCAUAAUAGAUCAAACAAAUUAAGAAUUCAGAGCCCAAUCCUAACUUCAAGCCAAGAAGUAAAAAAAGGAAGAAAAAAUCAAGACGCUCAGAACAGAACUCCAGCAAUAUUGAACCCAGAAAGAAAAUUGGCCAGGCGCGGUGGCUCACGCCUGUAAUCCUAGCACUUUGGAAGGUCGAGGUGGGCAGAUCACCUGAAGUCGGGAGUUCGAGACCAGCCUGACCAACAUGGAGAAACCCCGUCUCUACUCAAAAUACAAAAAAUUAGCCGGGCAUGGUGGCACAUGCCUGUAAUCCCAGCUACUUGGGAGGCUGAGGCAGGAGAAUUGCUUGAACCCAGGAGGCGGAUGUUGCGGUGAGCUGAGAUCGCGCCAUUGCACUCCAGCCUGGGCAACAAGAGGGAAACUCCAUCUCAAAAAAAAAAGAAAAGAAAAGAAAAAGAAAAAAGGAAAGAAAAUUGGAGCUAGGCGCGGUGGCUCAUGCCUGUAAUCCCAGCACUUUGGGAGGCCGAGAUGGGGCUGAUUACCUGAGGUCGGGAGUUUGAGAGCAGCCUGGCCAACAUGGUGAAACCCCGUCUCUACAAAAAUACAAAAAAAAUUAGCCAGGCAUGAUGGCGGGUGCCUGUAAUCCCAGCUACUCGGGAGGCUCAGGUGGGAGAAUCGCUUGAACCUGGGAGGCGGAAGUUGCAGUGAGCCGAGAUUGAGCUGUUGCGCUCCAGCCUGGGCGACAGAGCGAAACUCCAUCUUAGGAAAAGAAAGAAAGAAAGAAAGAAAGAAAGAAAGAAAGAA
rnacentral:lncRNA from 1 species